rnacentral:rRNA from 1 species
UACGUAGGGUGCGAGCGUUGUCCGGAAUUACUGGGCGUAAAGAGCUCGUAGGUGGUUUGUCGCGUUGUUCGUGAAAACUCACAGCUUAACUGUGGGCGUGCGGGCGAUACGGGCAGACUGGAGUACUGCAGGGGAGACUGGAAUUCCUGGUGUAGCGGUGAAAUGCGCAGAUAUCAGGAGGAACACCGGUGGCGAAGGCGGGUCUCUGGGCCGUAACUGACGCUGAGGAGCGAAAGCGUGGGGAGCGGACAGG